rnacentral:misc_RNA from 1 species
GUGAAUCAUCAAAUUUUUGAACGCAAAUUGCACUCUCUGGUAUUCCGGGGAGUAUGCCUGUUUGAGGAUCAGUAUAAAUAAAAGUCGUGGUUUUGCUUAUUUUGACGCCAUCGGAAGUGGGUCAUCGUUAUUCGUAAUAAAGGAUUAAAGUGACCUAAAAUUGAUGAUACCUUGUGCAUCUCAAGACGUACAUAAGAAUUUUUUUUUAUGCGUCCGGAGGUUGCCAAAUCUUUAUUAGGUAGGACCAUGA